UCAUAUUCAAGAAGAGCAUAGAUAAUAUGGAUAUCCAUAUUAUCCACCGUAUAACCUGUUUUUUAUCCGUCUUAAAUACGGGUCGAGUCAGAUAAUUUAUUCUAUUUGUUGAAUUAUCCGUUUUUAACCCGUUUAUAUCUAACUGACCCGCCCAUUUACCACCUAUACUCGAAGAUGAACAUCACCCAUUUAGGCACUUACACGAAUUAUACCCAAAACCUAUGAAGCCGAAAUAGGUUAACUAGGAGAAAUUAAAAGUACGAGACAUAAAUGGUAGGCUAACCCCAAAGUGCUAGUCUGAUCACUAUUAGUUACAUAGGUGUUUAACAAAAAGGUGUUGUUAUCUUCUAGCUGGCCUUGUGCAGUUGGAGUAAUUAAACGUCGAUAAGUAGUGCCUUGCUUGUCAGCCAUGAGUAUCUUCAACACAAAAACUGGAAUAUCUUCAAAAAACGAGCAUUAAAGGGCCACGGUCUUCCCCAAGUCCGUGAUUUGCAUAACAUCGGCCACUUGAUUUUGCUCCCGACAUGUAUGAGUAACAGGAGAAUCAGCCAAUUGGUGGAAGACGUACCUGCAAUCAUUAAGGAAGUGUGAGUAUAAAAGAUUGCCUGUAUUUAGAGCAUGUAUUAUCUCAGUUGCAUCAAUGGAGAUUUCCAAGGGAGUAAGGUUUCGUGCUUGUGCUAAACGAAGGCCCUAGAGAAGGCCCACUAACUCCAUUUGUAAAGUAGUUGUGUGCAUAGUACAACCAGAAUACCCUACAACCCAGUUGCAUUCAGAAUCACGAAUGACCCCUCCAUAACCUGCAAGUCCAGUGGUGGGGCAGGAGGCAUCGUCGGAGUUGAGUUUAUAACAAUGAGGUGGUGGAGGAGUCCACUUAAUAUAGAUGGGUUGGGGAUCCGUUCGACUUGUAGGUGAUAGGGCCAAGUGGAGAAAUUACAUAGCAUGUUUAACAAUGCAUGCAAGGCUGAUAGGUUUGUAAGGAGUGUCAAAAAUAUUGUGAUCUUUUAUUCCUAAUGUUCCAAAUAUGACAUAAGGAAAAAGGGGAUAAAUAGGGUAGAGAGGAGAUGGUGUGGGUAUUUACUAUUACUCUGAUAGAUAAGCUUUUUGAGAUAGGUUAGUGGUGGCUCGUUAGUAGUGAUAGUGAUAGGGGCUCCCUGAUGGGGGAAUAAUGAGUUCCAAAAUGAUGCUGCAGGAGCACAGUCAAAGAAAAUAUGGUGGAUAGUUUUAGCUGCGUUUUGGCAGGUUGUGCAUAUAAGGGAAGGGAUGAGUUUUUAACGGGCAAGGUAGGAGGCUGUAGGCAGUCGUUUGUGGCAAAAGAGCCAAAGAAAGUGAAUUAUCUUAGGGGUAGUUUGAGUUUCCAUAUCCAUUGGUAAGGAUGACUAUUACUGCUAUUCAAAAGGGAUGCAUAGCUGGAUUUGACAGAGAAAAGGCCGUUAUUUGUGAGCCCCCAGAUGAUACGAUCAUGAGAGGCAGGUUUGGAGAGAAGUAGGUGUUGUGUAAGCGUUGUGUUAUGGUAGUAGGCAGGUCAAAGGAGAGUGAUGAAAAAAUCCAAGAAGAAUGUGAACGGUAGGAGGCUAUCGAUGAUGUAGUUUCUGAUUCUGUCAAGGGGCCCUGAAUAAGGGACCGUAAUGUGAGAGUUGGGUUAAUCCAAGGUUCAUUCCAAAAGAAAAUAUGGGAACGAUCACCAGGUUGCCAUUUGAUACCCCGUUGGCAAAGUUGCCAGCCACGUCAAAUGAAUCUCCAAACUCUAGAUGAUGUGGAGACUGGUUUUUGAGGAUUUGCAUACCUUUUAAUUAGUAGAGAAGCCCAGAGGGAGUUGGGAUAAUUAAAAAAAACGCCAUGCCAUGCUGGCUUAGAGUGCAGAAUUCUUAAGAGAGAGUUUUUGGAUGCUUAGACCCCCUUUAGCUUUAGGUGUGGUAAUUGUGUCCCAAUUGAGUAGAUGGAGUCUUUUUUUUGUGUUACACUUGAUCCCCCAGGAAAUUAUGUUCAUAUCGUUUCGUUUUACUGAUAAUGCUUUGAGGAAUUGUUAGUAGUUGCAUGACAUGAUUUGAGAGAGAAUUAAGGGUUGAAUUUAUGAGAGUUAUCCUGCCCACUUUAGAUAUAAAUGAUGUUUUCCAUCCUGCCAGGCGUGCUUUAAAACUAUCUAGGAGGUAUGGAUAAUCACGCAUAGUAGGGCGUUUUACAAAUAUAGAAAAACCUUAAUAUUUCCCAUAAGACUUACCUUCGGUCAUGUGGAAAGAAGAUAUGACAUAUUGCCUAUCCCUUUGGGAGCAAUUUGUGGAAAAACAAUAUAUGGAAUUUAUCAAAAUUGAGCUUUUCGCCCCAAUAAGUAGUGAACAUAGUUAGAUGAUCAAUUAUUGUAUGGCAAGAUUUACCGGAGAUUUUAGCAGUGAGAAUAAUGUCAUGGGCAAAGAAUAUGUGAGAAAUUUGAGGGCCC
rnacentral:lncRNA from 1 species